rnacentral:rRNA from 1 species
CCUACGGGAGGCAGCAGUCGAGAAUCAUUCACAAUGGGGGAAACCCUGAUGGUGCGACGCCGCGUGGGGGAAUGAAGGUCUUCGGAUUGUAAACCCCUGUCAUGUGGGAGCAAAUUAAAAAGAUAGUACCACAAGAGGAAGAGACGGCUAACUCUGUGCCAGCAGCCGCGGUAAUACAGAGGUCUCAAGCGUUGUUCGGAAUCACUGGGCGUAAGGCGUGCGUAGGCUGUUUCGUAAGUCGGGUGUGAAAGGCGCGGGCUCAACCCGCGGACGGCACAUGAUACUGCGAGACUAGAGUAAUGGAGGGGGAACCGGAAUUCUCGGUGUAGCAGUGAAAUGCGUAGAUAUCGAGAGGAACACUCGUGGCGAAGGCGGGUUCCUGGACAUUAACUGACGCUGAGGCACGAAGGCCAGGGGAGCGAAAGGGAUUAGAUACCCUAGUAGUC